rnacentral:misc_RNA from 1 species
UCCCCGUUAUCCUGGGCAGUCCUUCCAGAGUUCCCGAAGGCACCAAUCCAUCUCUGGAAAGUUCUCGACAUGUCAAGGCCAGGUAAGGUUCUUCGCGUUGCAUCGAAUUAAACCACAUACUCCACCGCUUGUGCGGGCCCCCGUCAAUUCCUUUGAGUUUCAGUCUUGCGACCGUACUCCCCAGGCGGCGAACUUAACGCGUUAGCUUCGAUACUGCGUGCCAAAUUGCACCCAACAUCCAGUUCGCAUCGUUUAGGGCGUGGACUAC